GACCAUGACCCGAGCCGAAGGCAGCCGCUUAACCAACUGAGCCACCCAGGUGUCCCCAGCUCCGGCUUUCUUGAGCAAGAAGUAUGGGAGGCAGCUCCUGGGAUCCAUGUGUGGGACUACAGUGCCCAGAUGUCUCCUGUUGGCCCCAUGCCUUAGAGAAGAGACUGGUCACAGCCAAUAGAAGUUGUGGCAGACACAGAGAAGAUGAAGACAUGGUGCAUGCUCUAAAGAAGCUUUUUGUCCAAAGCUACCACCGUAAGGGGAGACCAGCCAGCUACAUGUGGACAGAGCCAACUUCUUAAAAGGUCAACCCAUCUCUGAUAAGGUCCCCAGGAGCAUAGAGUUGUAAAAUGAACAUGGCUCAGCGUGCCCACAAGAUGGCGGCAUUCUAGUAUUUUCCCAAACAGCCAAGGUCAUUGGGAAACCGUGCCCUCUGUUGGUGUGGAGGAGACCCUUCAUCUCCUACAAGGGCUGAGAGGAGGUCUCAUCACCAGUGUUCAGUGAACAUACUGAUCUUCUGGAAAAACCUGGGGGAAUGGGGAGCAAUGGUGGCCAGACAAAGGAAAAAGGUACUAAAUGUCACUUACUCAAUCAAACAAAUCUUUCUGGAUGCCUUCCUUGAGCUUCCCCAUCCCUAAGUUUGUGUUUGAUGAUCUCCUCUGUGCUCCUCCACCAGAGAGCACCUACCAUAUUGAAAUUCCAUUGUUCAUUUAUUAGUCUUCCUCUUCGAUCCAGCUAGGACCAUGUUCAUUUCCUCUCAGAAUCCCUGAUGUCUAUGCAAAAUCUAGCUCGAAUGAGCACAAAGCUCUUUGUUGAAUGAAUGAAGUUUAUCCUAAGAAAGAACUUAAAAUAGACUCUCGCUUGAAUAUCAUCACCCAGAUUAAGGGCAUCUUGGGCCAUUAAUAUCCUUGUCCUCAAAAAUGGAAGUUGGAAAGAUGGGAGAUCAAGAGAUGCACUCCAAAACACACUAAUGUGAGUUGUUGGAGGAAUGGCCAGGAUCACCUUUACAUCUACCUCUGCUCAAAAGAGAUCAGCUUGUCCACCUAGCCAGAGAAUCAAGGUCAAGAAGAUGGAAAACUUGGUGAGUCUGGUGCCCACUGGAGAAAACUGCGGCCUUUAAUCUGGGUUUUUACUUCACUCCCAUCUCUAACCAGGGAGGGAGGCAUGAGUUUUAGCACUGACAUAGGGUCCAUUAGCUGGAACAAGCGAGUUCAACCUGCUCCUUUGCCACCUUCCAUUGAGGCCCCCUGUCCUGGUGUCUGGCACCUCCACCUCUGCUGCUGGAGCUCCAGUAAAGAGGAAAGCAGUCAGAGGCACUCUGAAGGGCCCAACCUCCUUGCAUUCCAGCCCUGGCCAAAACCAGCUUGGGGAACAAGUGGAGAGCCCCUCUUGGAGGAAGUGAUUCAGAAACCGCGAUGGCCUGGCGGCCCGCCGUGACUCACAGCACAUCAAUGGGGGAAUUGUCUGUGGAGGCUGAGAAUACCAAAGCUCUUUUCUUUCCUUCCUUUCUCUUUUUUUUCCUUUUCUUUUUUGCCCUCCCUUGGCGGCACUGCGGAACACCAGGGCUGCCCAGAAACAUGUGUUUCUCAUCAUUGGCUCCAACAGCCGCCUUGGAGGACCGGGGAGCAAACAAGACCGAGAGGGAACAAGCCCCAUGGGGCAGCUGUAGCAGUUAAAGGGGGCCCUUCUCUUUCCCUGUGCCUGAGUCCUAUUUCACCUUCCUCAUCAACACUGACAUCCCCAAAGAGCAUCUGGAAUGGAGGAGAAAAGAAUUUUGGAUCCGGGAGAAAACUUAGGAGUAUGUCUCUUCCAGUACCUUUGUCUACAGAUGAGGAAGCUGAUGCCCCAAGAAGGGAAGUAAGUUGCUUGCCAAAUACCCUUAUAGCCAAGUUACAGCUGACGUCUUGAUGCAGUGACUGCAUUUUCCUGUACCUCAAUUCAGGAAAUGUGGUUGACAAAGGAUGAAUUUUUUUUUUCAUGAAUAGCAAAAACUGAGAAGUUGCACUAAGUCUCAUUAUAAAUCUAUCAAUUGUCCUUUUCCCCUUAUCUACCAGUCUCCGGAAACUGGUCUGCACAAGGUCACUUGUGAGGUCAUUUGCAAAACCUACAGGCCGUUUUGCAGUCUUCAUCUGACUGGCUAUCUCGGUAGCAUGUGGGUUUUCAUGCUCACUUUUGCCUCCCUACCUCUCUAAUUUCUCCUUCUCGGCAUCCUUUGCUCUCCACCUGGCUCGCAAAUGUCCAAGCUGCAGAGAGUUCUGUCCUAAGCCCACAUCCAUGUUCAUGGUUUCAGUGCCUAAAAAUUAGCUGAUGACUCCCCGAUCUUCACUACAGUUGUUCAUCUUUUCUGGGCUACAAACAUGUAUGUAUAGCUGCCUUCUCAGCAUCUUCUCUGGAUGCCCCAAACUGAACUCACCCUUUUCCUCCAAACCUCUCUGAUUGCUUUGACUCAAUUGCCAAACAAUGAUGGGAAGAGGAUGCCUAAUAUUUCAAAGCAUGUGCUUUGGAAUCUCAUAGACCUGGGCUCGACUCCCAGAUAUGCCACUUAACUAGCUAUGGGGCCUUGACUAAGUUACUUAACCUUUCAGUUUCACCAUCUGUAAAAUGGGGAUAAUAGAAAUACCUCCUUCAUAAGAUUGUCGUUAAGAGGAAAUGGGCUGGGCUCCCUGGGUGGCUCAGUGGAUUAAGCCUCUGCCUUCUGUUCAGGUC